UGGGGAAUAUUGCACAAUGGGGGAAACCCUGAUGCAGCGACGCCGCGUGAAGGAAGAAGUAUCUCGGUAUGUAAACUUCUAUCAGCAGGGAAGAUAGUGACGGUACCUGACUAAGAAGCUCCGGCUAAAUACGUGCC
rnacentral:rRNA from 1 species